AGUCACGUGGUUGAAUACAGUACGACAUUUCCCAGAGUUCAUUGCACAGAAAGCUGCUGUUCAAACAUGGCGCUGUACGGUGCAGUGGUCCGACGUGUUCUCUUUUAUCACCUGUAAACCAUGAUCUGAAAACGAGACAUCUAAAAGCUUUACCAAAAAACGGAAGACACUCCAGUCAUAUCGGACCAACCUGUCUUGGCAUCUGUAAAGUAAAAUGCCUUCUCCUAAAGCGCGGAACAGUGCUGGGCGCAGCGGCAGUGUCCCGUCUCCCGGCGGUGGAAACGGGCGCUAUGAGUUCAUUGCUCUGAACCGAACUCCCCCGCACCUGCUGCAGAGACAGGGUUCCGAUCCCACAUCGGCCCGGCUUCGAGCCUCCGAGAGCCCCAACCGACGACGGGGCUCGGGUUCAUCUACCUCCUCCACCGGUGGACAGCAGUUACCAGAGGAAGACUGCAUGAGAUUAAACCCUUCUUUCAUCGAGAUAGCGCUCAGCUCUCUGCUGGCCAUCGACCUGUGGCUGUCGAAGCGGCUUGGUGUGUGCGCUUGUGAGGACUCGUCGUGGGGCAGCGUGCGGCCGCUCAUGAAGCUCAUCGAGAUCUCCGGUCACGGGAUUCCGUGGCUCGCCGGUGCCGCGUACUGUCUGUAUAAAAGCGACAGUAUCGCCGGUCAGGAGGUCAUGCUGAACCUGCUCAUGGCCUUGGUUCUGGAUCUGGUGCUGGUUGGUGUGGUCAAGGCCGCGGUGCGGCGCCGACGUCCUGCCCAUAACCAAAUGGACAUGUUUGCCACAUUCUCUGUGGACCGCUAUUCCUUCCCAUCAGGCCAUGCCACACGUGCUGCGAUGUGUGCCCGUUUUCUAUUGGCCCAUCUGGUGCUGGCUGCCCCACUCCGGGUGCUUGUUCUGCUCUGGGCGUCUUUCGUUGGUUUUUCUAGGGUUCUCCUCGGACGCCAUAAUGUGACAGAUGUUGUGUUUGGUUUCUUUAUGGGUUACUGGCAGUAUAAUUUGGUUGAGAUGCUGUGGUUGUCACCACUCAUGUUCCAAAGCAUGAUCGGACAGCUCGACUAAGAAGUUGUAAGAACUUGAGUGGGGCCUAGAUUUUUGGGGGGAUCUAGACUAAAUCGCUGUUUGGUGCAAUUAAUUCCAUGUUGUCAGUCAUCAUUGUUUUAUAUGUCUGCUAACUAAAAUGUAAAAUAUUAACCAUCUUCCAGCAAUGUUCAGGGUUUUUAUUAAGUUCAUUUCUGUCAGAAAUCUGCAGUGGAUUGUCAGAGAGUGGUAUGAAUGGGUCUAAUGUUCUAUCACUUCAGAUUAUUUCUCUGUCUUCCUCUCUUUUUCUACUUUUUGGCUGACCACUGUUGAUUGGAUCAUUUGUGACUCAUUUGAAAAACUGGUGUAAAGAGGGAACAUUGGUGUUUGACAUCUAUGGGGUCCAUUUCAUCAGCGAGAGUUAUAUCUCUAAUUAAUAUGAAAAACUCUUCUUAGGUGAAUAUUUAAUUAAGCAAAGAAAGAUAAGAAACUGAGGGCUGAAUUUUACUGCGGCUUCAGAACCUUAAAGGAGUCAUUCGCCAGAAGGUUAAAGUCUCAGCAGUGAUUAUAGAGCCAUAAACUGCAUGAUAUGCUGCAAACUGUAGCCACUCAUCACAGGAGAAUAUUUUCACCAAAGUCACAGAAACACCUCUAUAUCUACAAACUGUACAGUGAUGGUAAUAAUGGCACUUUGAUAUAUAUAUACAGGUAUAUAUAUAUAUAUAAUUGUACCAAGUGUAUGUACAAAGGUAUUUUGGGGUAUGUUAACGUGCAAAAAACAUGGGUAAUACCAUCAUAUUCCAUCACUCUUUUUUAACAUUCUUGUAGUUUUAUUAUUGUGAAAUUAGUAACCAUGGUUCAUUUUUAUAAGGGACACUUUAUUUCAUAGUGUGUGUGGGAUUCCAGAGCAUGUUACUAACCAGAAUAAUAACGAACAGGAUGUGUAAAGAAUGUGUAUGGACAGUUGCCUCAAUUGGCAUGUUUGUGUGUGAAAUAUGAAUUGAAGUUCAACUCAAUGCUUAGGAAAAAUGAUUUACAGUAUGUAACAGAUCAAACAUGCCAUCAGCUAAUCAUAUGGCUUGCUGUUCCUUUGUGGCAUUCGUUUUUCAAUCCACCCCAAGUUUUUUUCUCAUAUGAAAUUUGUCUCCUUGAGAGCUCAUGACUUGAAAAUCAUUUUCAGUAAUAAGUUUGUUGUGAUGUUUGUGGGAGUCUUCACUGUUUAAAGAGAACCAUCUACACUCUUUUCCUGUGCAAUAAUUUGGUUGUUUUAUAAAAGUGCAGCCUUUGUCAUUAGUGCAAUAUAAUAUACGAGACAAAUGGCAGCAAAAAAAUAAUGCUGUAUUUAAAUUGCAAUAAUGUGAUGUUCUGGUGCUGUGUUUGUUUGCUAGAGACCAUGCAUAUUAGCCUUUAUACUUGUAGUUAAUGGAGAGGACACUUUUAUUUGAUAUUCUGUUGACUGAGCGAAUCUUGGUUUCACCAACUAUUACACUACAAAUAAUCUCACAUUUGACCAUUGCUGUCCAAAGUGGCAAUGUAACUUCGUGCUUAUGUGGUAGAUGCUAUGAUAGUUUACUAUAUUUGUGAUGUAAAAUAUACUCAACAUUGAUCAUAACGUGAUUGUAUUUUUUAAAUAAAUAUAACAAUUUCA